UACGGAGGGUGCAAGCGUUAUCCGGAUUUACUGGGUUUAAAGGGUGUGUAGGCGGAUCUUUAAGUCAGUGGUGAAAUCUCCGGGCUCAACCCGGAAACUGCCAUUGAUACUAUUGGUCUUGAAUAUUGUGGAGGUGGGCGGAACGGGUCAUGUAGCGGUGAAAUGCUUAGAGAUGACCCGGAACACCGAUUGCGAAGGCAGCCCACUACGCAAUGAUUGACGCUGAGGCACGAAAGCGUGGGGAUCAAACAGG
rnacentral:rRNA from 1 species